CCCUUAGAUGUUCUGGGCCGCACGCGCGCUACACUGACGAAUGCAACGAGCUUAUAACCUUGGCCGAAAGGUCUGGGUAAUCUCCAAAUUUCGUCGUGAUGGGGAUAGAUUAUUGCAAUUAUUAAUCUUCAACGAGGAAUGCCUAGUAAGCGCAAGUCAUCAGCUUGCGUUGAUUACGUCCCUGCCCUUUGUACACACCGCCCGUCGCUCCUACCGAUUGAAUGGUCCGGUGAAGCGCUCGGACCGCGGCCUCUUGACGGUUUUCCGUCGAUUGGCUGUGGGAAGUUCGUUAAACCUUNUNAUUUACNGGAAGGAGAANUCGUANCA
rnacentral:rRNA from 1 species